ACCUGGCUGCUCAGUCUGAAGAGCAUGAGACUCUUAAUCUCAGGGUCAUGAGUUCAAGCCCCAUGCUGGGUA
rfam:Ailuropoda melanoleuca scaffold573_59, whole genome shotgun sequence.